CCCUUAGAUGUUCUGGGCCGCACGCGUGCUACACUGAGUGGAUCAGCGGGCCAGGUUGCGCGAAAGUGUUUCCUAAUCUUGAAAUCCGCUCGUGAUGGGGAUUGACGGUUGCAAUUUUCCGUCAUGAACGAGGAAUACCUUGUAAGCGCGGGUCAUCAUCCCGCGCUGAAUACGUCCCUGCCCUUUGUACACACCGCCCGUCGCUCCUACCGAUUGAGUGGUCCGGUGAGGCUUUGGGAUCUGAGCGGAAAGAGUGUUUCGCUGUUUCUGCUCGGAAAACUCAGUCGAACCUUAUCAUUUAGAGGAAGGAGAAGUCGUAACA
rnacentral:rRNA from 1 species